UUUCCGUAGGUGAACCUGCGGAAGGAUCAUUAAAAAAUGUGGUACCAAUUAUUGGUACUAAUUAAUCAUCCUACCCUUUGUGAAUUUGUUUGUAUGAAUUUUUUUAAAUGGGUCUUUCCCUAAGUUGGAUUGUUAGUAAAAUACAAAAAGACUUAGGGGAAUGACUUUUUUAAAAGACUUUUUUUAAUUAAAACUUUUUGUAUUCAUUUGUCUAAAAUUUAUUUUUAUAAUAUAAAAACAACUUUUGACAAUGGAUCUCUUGGUUCUCGCAACGAUGAAGAACGCAGCAAAAUGCGAUAAGUAGUGUGAAUUGCAGAAUACGUGAAUCAUCGAAUCUUCGAACGCAUAUUGCACUUUUUUAGUUUACUAAAAAAGUAUGUCUGUUUGAGUAUCAGUAAAAUAUUCUCACAAACAUGUAUUGUUUGUGGUUAUGAGUGUUUUACAACGAUAAACAAGUUGUUUCACUUUAAAUUCUUUUUAAUUGAAUUUUACCAAUUCAUAAAUUAAAAUUGGAUAAAAUUUUCCUUUAACGAGGAAUAACCUAAACAAUUUUAAAUUUUAUGGAUUAAUAAACAUUCAUCAAAGGAAUCUAUACAACAAAUAACUUGAUCUCAAAUCAGAUAAGAGUACCCGCUGAACUUAAGCAUAUCAAUAAGCGGAGGAAAAGAAACUAACAAGGAUUCCCUUAGUAACGGCGAGUGAAGCGGGAAGAGCUCAAAUUUGAAAUCUUCAAGGUUUGACCUUGACGAAUUGUAGUUUAUAGAAGUGUUUUCUGUUGGAGCUUUGGUAAAAGUUCUUUGGAAUAGGACAUCAUAGAGGGUGAGAAUCCCGUAUUUGACCAUGACUUUCCAGCUGUGUGAUACACUUUCAAAGAGUCGGAUUGUUUGGGAAUGCAGUCCAAAAUGGGUGGUAAAUUUCAUCUAAAGCUAAAUAUUGGCGAGAGACCGAUAGCGAACAAGUACCGUGAGGGAAAGAUGAAAAGAACUUUGAAAAGAGAGUUAAACAGUACGUGAAAUUGUCAAAAGGGAAGCGUUUGACACCAGUGUUGUUUUCUCGAAAAUCAAUUUAAUGAGUUCUUGUUUUUAAGUUAUUGUGACUUUAUCAGCGCAUUUCUUAUUUUACUUGACUCAUUGAAUGCACUUUUCGUUUAACAAGUCAACAUCAAUUUCUUUGGUGGUAAAAAGUUUAAAGGAAGGUGGCUUGGACUUCGGUUCAAGUGUUUAUAGCCUUUUUUCUAUGCCAUCGGAGAGACUGAGGUCUGCAGCGUAGAUCCUUCGGGGUUAGAUACCUUUGUGCUAAGUUAUAGUUUUUUAUAGACAACUUGUUGACUAUAAUUAACCCUGCAAUUUACUCGCUUAGGCUAUUUUACCUACGCUUAGGAUGUUG
rnacentral:misc_RNA from 1 species